rnacentral:snoRNA from 1 species
CAUGUUUUUCAACCAACCUGCCAUUGAAGCUCCUUAUUGGCUAAACACACCUGAUCCGGGUAACAGCAAAACAACAAAUAAGGCAGAAUUUCUGGAAAACCAGCAGGGGGCUGGCCCUCGAGGUCUGAAGUUUGACACGCCUGCUCUAAAU